UUGCACACUUUGGUAGCAAAUACACAAAAAUGGCAAUGAGACAGAGAAGACUAGCAUGGCCCUUGUGCAAAGGUGAUAUGCAAAUUUGUGAAAUGUUCCAUAUUUUU